AAGCCAAUACAAGUCAAGAAAUGGUGUCGUUCGCCCGUUUUGCUUUGCCCUUCGCAAUUAUUGCCGUGGCACUCUUUGUUUCGCCAUCAAAUGCUGGAAAGAAUGAAGGAUUAGGUGUCCCAUCAUCAUUGCCUCCAUUAGCGGUUUAUGGCAGAGCUCCACCCCCAAGCCAAAUUGGAAAAAAAGUGAAAUUUAUAAUUUAAUAGUUUAUUCUUUGAUGGACACGAAUUUUAUAGAUUUAAAUUCAUGUUGAAGACAUGAAUCUCUGAAUAUCUUUAAUAUUUGUAUGACAAUCAACCCUAUACUCCACGUAUACAAUUUUGAUGAUUAUAUCUGCUUCUCGUGUCCUGUGAGUUACGCUUUACAUUAGCUAUAAACACAAUUACAUAAACUUUGAAUACGUGUAUGGAAAGGAAGGGACUAGAUGGCAGCACAAAUUAUGUAGUUCUUAUUUCAUUUAGAUUACUUCUUAUAUACUGUUGGCGUCCUUCAUGUUCGGCAAAAUUUCACGAUCUCGUUUUUUUAUGAUCAAUACCCCUGUAUACAAGAUGUGUACAACAUUUUUUUCGGAAGUAUAAAAUGAAAAGAAAAAUUAUCGAAGGGCCCAUUCGCAAAAAUCCAAAUCGACUAUAUCGAAACCUCGAAUGCAUCAACACAUUUCAAAGUGAACAAAUAUAUGAAAUAAUCAAAUGAAAAAUGUUCUCAAUUUAAAAUACUCUAAUUACAUUAUAUCAACUGUCAA